GGGACACGUGGUAUCCUGUCUGAAUAUGGGGGGACCAUCCUCCAAGGCUAAAUACUCCUGACUGACCGAUAGUGAACCAGUACCGUGAGGGAAAGGCGAAAAGAACCCCGGCGAGGGGAGUGAAAAAGAACCUGAAACCGUGUACGUACAAGCAGUGGGAGCACGCUUAGGCGUGUGACUGCGUACCUUUUGUAUAAUGGGUCAGCGACUUAUAUUCUGUAGCAAGGUUAACCGAAUAGGGGAGCCGAAGGGAAACCGAGUCUUAACUGGGCGUUAAGUUGCAGGGUAUAGACCCGAAACCCGGUGAUCUAGCCAUGGGCAGGUUGAAGGUUGGGUAACACUAACUGGAGGACCGAACCGACUAAUGUUGAAAAAUUAGCGGAUGACUUGUGGCUGGGGGUGAAAGGCCAAUCAAACCGGGAGAUAGCUGGUUCUCCCCGAAAGCUAUUUAGGUAGCGCCUCGUGAAUUCAUCUCCGGGGGUAGAGCACUGUUUCGGCAAGGGGGUCAUCCCGACUUACCAACCCGAUGCAAACUGCGAAUACCGGAGAAUGUUAUCACGGGAGACACACGGCGGGUGCUAACGUCCGUCGUGAAGAGGGAAACAACCCAGACCGCCAGCUAAGGUCCCAAAGUCAUGGUUAAGUGGGAAACGAUGUGGGAAGGCCCAGACAGCCAGGAUGUUGGCUUAGAAGCAGCCAUCAUUUAAAGAAAGCGUAAUAGCUCACUGGUCGAGUCGGCCUGCGCGGAAGAUGUAACGGGGCUAAACCAUGCACCGAAGCUGCGGCAGCGACGCUUAUGCGUUGUUGGGUAGGGGAGCGUUCUGUAAGCCUGCGAAGGUGUGCUGUGAGGCAUGCUGGAGGUAUCAGAAGUGCGAAUGCUGACAUAAGUAACGAUAAAGCGGGUGAAAAGCCCGCUCGCCGGAAGACCAAGGGUUCCUGUCCAACGUUAAUCGGGGCAGGGUGAGUCGACCCCUAAGGCGAGGCCGAAAGGCGUAGUCGAUGGGAAACAGGUUAAUAUUCCUGUACUUGGUGUUACUGCGAAGGGGGGACGGAGAAGGCUAUGUUGGCCGGGCGACGGUUGUCCCGGUUUAAGCGUGUAGGCUGGUUUUCCAGGCAAAUCCGGAAAAUCAAGGCUGAGGCGUGAUGACGAGGCACUACGGUGCUGAAGCAACAAAUGCCCUGCUUCCAGGAAAAGCCUCUAAGCAUCAGGUAACAUCAAAUCGUACCCCAAACCGACACAGGUGGUCAGGUAGAGAAUACCAAGGCGCUUGAGAGAACUCGGGUGAAGGAACUAGGCAAAAUGGUGCCGUAACUUCGGGAGAAGGCACGCUGAUAUGUAGGUGAAGUGAUUUACUCAUGGAGCUGAAA
rnacentral:rRNA from 1 species